rnacentral:rRNA from 1 species
UACCACAGCCAUAUCACCCUGCAGCCCAAGACUGGUUGCCCACUGAAGCUAAGCAGGGUUGAUCCUGGUCAGUACCUGGAUGGGAGACCUCCUGGGAAAACUAGGUUGCUGUUGGAA